rnacentral:rRNA from 1 species
GACGAACGCUGGCGGCGUGCUUAACACAUGCAAGUCGAACGGAAAGGCCCUGCUUUUGUGGGGUGCUCGAGUGGCGAACGGGUGAGUAACACGUGAGUAACCUGCCCUUGACUUUGGGAUAACUUCAGGAAACUGGGGCUAAUACCGGAUAGGAGUUCCUGCUGCAUGGUGGGGGUGGGAAAGUUUCGGCGGUUGGGGAUGGACUCGCGUCUUAUCAGCUGGUUGGCGGGGUAGUGGCUUACCAAGGCUUUGACGGGUAGCCGGCCUGAGAGGGUGACCGGCCACAUUGGGACUGAGAUACGGCCCAGACUCCUACGGGAGGCAGCAGUGGGGAAUAUUGCACAAUGGGCGGAAGCCUGAUGCAGCAACGCCGCGUGCGGGAUGACGGCCUUCGGGUUGUAAACCGCUUUCGCCUGUGACGAAGCGUGAGUGACGGUAAUGGGUAAAGAAGCACCGGCUAACUACGUG